rnacentral:rRNA from 1 species
GACGAACGCUGGCGGCGUGCUUAACACAUGCAAGUCGAACGAAGAGCGAUGGAAGCUUGCUUCUAUCAAUCUUAGUGGCGAACGGGUGAGUAACGCGUAAUCAACCUGCCCUUCAGAGGGGGACAACAGUUGGAAACGACUGCUAAUACCGCAUACGAUCUAAUCUCGGCAUCGAGGAUAGAUGAAAGGUGGCCUCUACAUGUAAGCUAUCACUGAAGGAGGGGAUUGCGUCUGAUUGGCUAGUUGGAGGGGUAACGGCCCACCAAGGCGAGGAUCAGUAGCCGGUCUGAGAGGAUGAACGGCCACAUUGGGACGGAGACACGGCCCAGACUCCUACGGGAGGCAGCAGUGGGGAAUCUUCCGCAAUGGACGAAAGUCUGACGGAGCAACGCCGCGUGAGCGAUGACGGCCUUCGGGUUGUAAAGCUCUGUUAAUCGGGACGAAAGGCCUUCUUGCGAAUAGGGAGAAGGAUUGACGGUACCGGAAGAGAAAGCCACGGCUAACUACGUG